ensembl:lncRNA
CUGCCAUAAUUGCUAUUAUUGUUAAGAAAUGCAUUUGAUAUGAUUUGUAUAUUUUAUUUUGUCAAGUAAUUAUUUUUAUUUUAACUGCUCAAGGGAAGCACUUUCUGUUUCAUGUUGCAAGGGGGACACUUUUACGUGUGACACAUAUGAUUUGGUUUAUCGAUGUAUUAUAAAGUUGUUCAAGACGCACAUCCAGCCAUAAGAAAGCCAUAACGUCAUACAAGGACUGAAAGGUGACGUUUGCAACGGUAAACUCUUUUUGUGUGAAGGAACAUUCUUCUUUUUGAUCAUUUUUGUGUUUGUGACGAAGCGGACUCAUUCCCUGUUUGCGUAAAUGCGGCCAGCGAGGAUGUCUGAGGGGGCGGAGCCAAAUCAUUACGACAUCAGACUCACCUGGACUGAUCACCUGAGAACUACUUAACCUGUCACUCGGUCUGAUUGAUUCUUCUGUUCUGGUUUUAUCUGGUGUGUUUGUCCAACCUGCAGCUCAGGUCCCUCUCUAUCUCCCCACACAUCCACCAACCACUGGAACACAUCUCCAAAGUUCUGCCAGGCCAGCUCAGCUUCCCCUCAGAAGAAGUGCUGCCACCUGCCAGAUGAAGGAGCCUUUUGAGAGGCAGCUGGCAUCAUGAUUGGACUGUACUUUGGUCUGUUCCAAUCCAGCUUCAGCUCCAGAGACGGCAGGCGGGACGAGUCAACGGAGGCCUGGUGGACGAAGGCAUGAAGCUGAGUACAAUCCAGAAAACAACAGAGGAGGAGUGCAGUGGCCCAGGGCCAGAACAACCAGAGUAGCAUCUCGCUGUAAAAAGUCAGUCCAUCCUCGCCGACUUCAACACCUCUUCAUGACAACUUGUUCUGCCUCCGACCUCGUGGAAACUCAAGAAACUCGGGAAAACCUGUCGAGACUCGAAGAACUCGUGGCGACUCGAAAAACUCGUCGGGCGGGGGAAGGUGUGGUGGGCGGUGGGGGAGUAGAGGGGGGAGGCCGCCACCCACCUUCCCGCCUACUCUCCGCCCUGGCUCCACCCAGACUCCGCCUUGGCUCCACCCAUGUGGUCACUUCAGGAACUACGAUGCCAAAGGGACGACGAAUUUAUGUCUUUUCAUCUGAUCUGUAGCUCAGUGAGUUAAGGAUUUGCCUGUGGAGCUGCAGGUCGCUGGUUCAAGACCAGACCCUUCUUAAGUUUUCUCAAAAUCCUGACAAAGACAAAGAAAGAAAAAGGCCGGUGGCGGGUCUCGAACCUGCGACCUACCGCUUGGUAGUCCUCUUCUUAUCCUCCUGAGCUACUCGCUCAGAUACAAAUUCUUCUUUUUUUUGCGCAUUUAUCAUCUAUUUUUUGUCGUCUUCGAGUUUUUUUUGACUCGAGUCUCAACUCGACCGUUUUUCUCAGGAGGUUGGACUUCAGCCUUUGUGCUGGAGGGUUGAACCUUCAGUUCCAAGACUUUCCAAAGCCUCCACACCUCCCGAGUCCUCAGGACCUGAGCUUUCACACAGUCUGAGGGCUGAAAUUUUCUAAGUCCCACAGCAGUUCUCUGUUAGUUUGAACCUUCAAACAGUCCAAGGACUGAAAUCCUCUAAGUUCCUGAGUAGUUCUCUGUUAGUUUGAACCUUUAGACAGUCCAAGGACUGAAAUUUUAAAAGUUUCUCAGUACUUCUCUGUUAGUUUGAACUUUCUGGUUAACAGAAGCCUUAAAACUUGUGACCAUGAGUCUUGAUUUCACAUUUAGACCAUCCAUCUGAGUUCUUCUCAGACCUUCACCUGUGGGUUUUUUAGAAAUCCUUAACAAACUUUGAUUCUCUUCACUGAACAGUAAAGUUUGUGGAGAUCAGAAGGUAACAUUAGUUUGAUCAAUGCCUUCAACUACUAGUAGACUUUAUCUGGAAAGCAGUUUUCUGAAAUGAGUUCUUAGUAAAUAUGUCCACAAUCAAACCAAGAACAUAGAAAGAGGAAAUGUUUGAAGAAACAACUUGUUUUGAUUUCAGACUAGAAAACGCUUAAGACCU